AGAUAUCCUUGCUCUCAGUGUGAGUAUGCUGCAACUAAAGCAAGUUCUCUGAAGAGACAUUUUGAAAAUAAACAUGAAGGAGUAAGAUAUCCCUGUUUUCAAUGUGAAUAUAGUGCAACUGACGUAAGUAAUCUAAAGAAACAUGUUGAAAUUAAACAUGAAGGAGAGAGAUAUCCUUGUUCUCAAUGCGAACAUGCCGCAACUUCAGCAAGGGAUCUGAAGAGACAUGUUAAUAGUAAACAUGAAGGAUUGAGGUAUCCCUGCUCUCAAUGUGAAUAUAGUGCAACUGACGAAAGUAAUCUGAAGAGACAUGUUGAAAGUAAACACAAUGGAGUGAGGUAUCCAUGCCCAAAAUGUGAGUUCGCUGCAACUAGAGCAGAUGCGCUGAAGAUUCAUGUUGAGAGUAAACAUGAAGGGUGGAGAUAUUAUUGCCCACAAUGUGAGUUUGUCGCAACUGCAGCAAUUAAUCUGAAGAGACAUGUUAAAAGUAAACAUUAAGGAGCGAGAUAUCCUUGCCCUGAAUGUAAAUAUGCUGCAACUCUGAAAAGAGAUAGAAUAACAGAGAUUUUGAAGAAAGAAGUAGAUGUCAAGGAAUCUGAGAUAACCUCUACUAUUGAGGAUACAUGUUUUGUUAAAAUACCUGAAGAUGAUAUAAAGCAGGAAAAUACAGAAAUACAAGAGUGCCACCAGCAUUGAAACACAGGGCCGAGGCCCGAGAUUAUAAAGAAAGAAUUAAGUAGAUGUGAAGGUCUCUGAGAUAACCUCUACUGAAAUGAUCACAUAUGCUUUUUGAAUAUACCUCAAGAUAAUAAAAAGCUGGAAAAUACAGAAAUGAAAGGUAAUCUUGAUAAAUUUAUAUUUUCUUUAAGAAUAGAAGCGAAUUGUGUUUGUAGAGGGGGGGGGAAGGUUGUGAGGUAUUUAUA